rnacentral:rRNA from 1 species
AGCACAUGCUUAAUACGGUGAAGCCGCGAAUAGCUCAUUACAACAGCCAUCGUUUACUAGAAAAUUAUUUUCCUACUUGGAUAACUGUGGCAAUUCUAGAGCUAAUACAUGCGAAAAAGCUCGUUCUGAAAGGAGCGGGCGCAUUUAUUAGAAUAAAAACCAAUCGGGCCCUUAAAAGCCCGCCGUUUGGUGAAUCUGAAUAACUUUGCUGAUCGCACGGUCCUAGUACCGGCGACGUAUCUUUCAAGUGUCUGCCUUAUCAACUUUCGAUGGUAGGUUAUACGCCUACCAUGGUAGUAACGGGUAACGGAGAAUAAGGGUUCGACUCCGGAGAGGGAGCCUGAGAAACGGCUACCACAUCCAAGGAAGGCAGCAGGCGCGCAAAUUACCCACUUCCAGAACGGAGAGGUAGUGACGAAAAAUAACGAGACAGUCCUCUCUGAGGUCUGUCAUCGGAAUGGGUACAAUUUAAAUCCUUUAACGAGGAUCUAUUGGAGGGCAAGUCUGGUGCCAGCAGCCGCGGUAAUUCCAGCUCCAAUAGCGUAUAUUAAAGUUGUUGCGGUUAAAACGCUCGUAGUUGAAUCUGCGGCCUGGGAGAAUGGACCCCCGAAAGGGUGGUAACUGUUACUCCUAGCCUAAAUUUUUAGUCUACUCUAUAGUGCCUUUAACCGGGUGCUUAGAGUGACUAGAACGUUUACUUUGAAAAAAUUAGAGUGCUUAAAGCAGGCGAAUUUGCCUGAAUAAGGUGCAUGGAAUAAUGGAAUAGGACCUCGGUUCUAUUUUGUUGGUUUUCGGAGCCUGAGGUAAUGAUUAAGAGGAACAGACGGGGGCAUUCGUAUUCCGGCGCUAGAGGUGAAAUUCUUGGACCGCCGGAAGACGGACGACUGCGAAAGCAUUUGCCAAGAAUGUUUUCAUUAAUCAAGAACGAAAGUUAGAGGUUCGAAGGCGAUCAGAUACCGCCCUAGUUCUAACCGUAAACGAUGACAACCAGCGAUUAGUCGGCGUUAAUAUAUGACCCGACUAGCAGCUUCCGGGAAACCAAAGUUUUUCGUUUCCGGGGGAAGUAUGGUUGCAAAGCUGAAACUUAAAGGAAUUGACGGAAGGGCACCACCAGGAGUGGAGCCUGCGGCUUAAUUUGACUCAACACGGGAAAACUCACCCGGCCCGGACACCGUAAGGAUUGACAGACUGAGAGCUCUUUCUUAAUUCGGUGGGUGGUGGUGCAUGGCCGUUCUUAGUUGGUGGAGCGAUUUGUCUGGUUAAUUCCGAUAACGAACGAGACUCUGGCCUAUUAAAUAGCCGGUACAUAUUGAAAAGUUUGCCGCGCUUCUUAGAGGGACAACCGGCGUCUAGCCGCGUGAAAUAGAGCAAUAACAGGUCUGUGAUGCCCUUAGAUGUCCGGGGCUGCACGCGCGCUACACUGAAAGAAUCAGUAUGCGCUUACGCCUAGUUCGGAAGAACCGGGUAACCCUAGCAAAUUCUUUCGUGCUUGGGAUAGGGAAUUGCAAUUAUUUCCCUUGAACGAGGAAUUCCCAGUAAAUGCGGGUCAUAAGCUCGCGUUGAUUACGUCCCUGCCCUUUGUACACACCGCCCGUCGCUACUACCGAUUGGAUGACUUAGUGAGGUCUUAGGACCGAGGUAAUGGAGCUUUCAUUAGUUCUUUUGCUUUGGAAAUUUGAUCGAACUACGUUAUCUAGAGGAAGU